UUCUGGGUCUGCUUGAAUUGGGGUUUAGUCCCUGUGUCUUGAUACAGCCCUGAUUUUGUUCUGCCUUGCUGCUUAAUUAAAAAAAUAGUUUAAGGUGUCCUGCAUAAGUGAUAUAUAUUUUUCCCUAUAUGAAGUCAUUCUUUUUUGAAUGACCCCCCCCCCACAAAAAAAAAAAAAUCCCACAUGCAUACUACCCUUUAGGGCUAAGCCCCGGGUGUUUCAAAUGUCUGGCUCCGCCUCUGGUCUCAACCAAGUACUGUAUGGUUUUUAUAUUUUUAGUAGUGUGUCACACAAACAGCAAAUAUUGUCAAAAAGAGUAAGAAAUCUCUGGGGGUGUUUUGAUUCAUUUUGGGGGUGCUUCAGCACCCCCAAAAAUGGGCUAAAAACGCCCCUGUCCCCACCAAUAAUUUGAUCUCUUCGAGUAAAGAAAGAGAAACCCGAUAGAAAGAAAAAAAAACGAUCUGUCAGCGUCUCAUUCACCCAGUGGUGCAGAAAGAGUUAAAUUACAUUCUCUACUGGAGUUCUACCUCAUGUGACAAAUAUGGCUAAUGUGAUUCGCUGUGCCUUUCAGGGAGCUCUGUUUAGUUUUAGCACACCCGAGCCUCAACUCCCGCGGCCCGGUACCAAAUGACUCACGGACCGUGGCCUGGGGGUUGGGGACCGCUGCCUUACAGCAUAGCAGCAUAGGAUCAAUGGAUCAGUCGUGGAUUCAGCAAAAGGUUUAAGUUUCUUCUUCAUAUGGCUAUUCUUCUGUAGUCUUUUUUAAAUUAAUUUAUUUUCUUUGUUUUCUGAUAUUUAUUUUUUUCAAUGCAUUUCUUAAAUAAAUUACUAAAAUGUUUUUUACAGAUAAAAGGAAGCCUCAGAUCAUUGGAAAUACAACCGUUAAACUGGGAGAUGUUCUGAAUCUGACCUGCAGUGUUGAAAGUUUCCCCCCAGCUCUUAUAGUCUGGAGAAGUACCACCACAAUCCUUCUGACUAAAACUUAUCCUGAUCUGCACAAUGACACUGGAUCAGCUACACUUGUCAUUCAGAAUGUGAUAGCAGAACAUUCUGGACAGUACAUCUGUGCAACCAAAUAUCUGCACACAACUGUGACUUCAUAUGUCAAUGUGACCGUGACAUGGUUUUCAAAAAUAGUGAAUGGCUCUGGAUGUGUGCUUCAGGCAGAGGUUUUGACCUGUGUGUGUCUCAGUGAAGGGUUUCCUUUACCGACUGUCAAUUGGCCAUUUCUGAAGAACCGCACUGAUUACUCUGCCCUUACCACUGUGUCAAACCACACAGUAAACAGCACAGUCAGUUUAACUGUGAAAAACAAUGGCAACACUACUUUUGAAUGUAUCAGCAACAAUGGAAUGGGGGAAGCAAAAGAAAGUCUCACAAUCCAAAAAAACUUGCCAGACAAUAAUAUUUUUAGGCUGGAAUACGUGAACGUCAUCAUUGUCUUUUUCACUGGGGCAGUUCUUGCAACAAUCAUUUGCUUUUUAGCUAAAAAUUGCUACAGAAAAAAUCAGAACAUUCAAAAAUUGAGAAAUUCAGAUGAGAUUUUGGAGAUGGAGACACAUCAAAAUAAACUGGUAUUAAUUCAUCAGACAUUUUUUGAUUUACUUGUCAAAAUAUGAGUUUCUGCACAAAUUUUGAUAUCUUUGAAGCAUCCAUAGUUUACUUGUUUACAUUUUACUGUAAGUUCCUACAUAAAGGUUCUGAAAGAAAGUAGUUCAGAUUAAGAUUAGCCUUAAUAAUAAGAUUAUUUAGAUUUUUUAAUUAACUCCUUGUAUACAGUGGUGUGAAAAAGUGGUUGCCCCAUCCUAGUUUCCUAUUUUAUUUGUAUGUUUGUCACACUUAAAUAUUUCAGAUCAUAAAACAACUUUAGAUAUUAGACAAAGAAAAAAGUCAACACAAAAGGCAGUUUACUUAGGCCACUCCUAAGUCUUCAGUUUGUUUUUCCUAAGCCAUUCAGAGGUGGACUUGCUGGUGAGUUUUGGAUCACUGGCAAAACAGUUUUUUUCCCCUUUAUGCUCAUUUACUCAACACUGGUUUUCAUCUUGGAACUCUCCCAUGGAUGCCAUUUUUGCCCAUUUUUGCUUAUGGUGGCGUCACGCACACUGGCCUUAACUGAGGCAAGUGAGGCCUGCAGUUCUUUGGAUGUUGUUCUGGGGUCUUUUGUGACCUCUUGAAUGAGUUUUCACAAUGUUUUUAGGUUUUAGGGCAAUUUUGGUUGGCGGGCCACUCCAGAUCACCACUAUUCCAUGUUUUUGCCAUUUGUGGAUAAUGCCUCUCACUGUGGUUCGCGUGGAUUCCCACAGAUUUAGAAAUGUCUUUAGAACCUUUUCCAGACUGAUACAUCUCAAUUACCUUGUUUCUUAUUUGUUGUUGACUUUCUUUGUAUUGCAACAUGAUUUUGAGGCCUACUCAACUUUGUCAUGCAGGUCCUAUUUAGAGUAAGUGAUUUCUUGAUUGAAAAUGGGUGUGGCAGUAAUCAGGCAUGGGUGCGGCGAGAGAAAUUAAACUCCGCUUUCCAAAGAUGAGAUACACCACCAUAACUUUUUUACACAGGGCCAUGCAGCUUCGGAUUUUUUUUUUAAGCUUCAGUUCUUUCAUCAAGCUGAUUGAUAAAAAGAAAAAUAACCCAGAAUGAAACAAUGUAAAUGUACAAGACAGACAAGAUGAGUCUCUCUUCCUUUGUUUUUAACAGGUAUAUAAUAGUCAAGCAUUACAAGACACUCAGACCCUGAGCUCAAACAGUGGGCCAAAGGAGGUGGAGUAUGCCAAUAUAGAUUUUUCCCUGCUGAAAAGAAACAGUGGCAGGGAGGCAGCAAGGAAGCAAGAGAGCACAAAGACAGACUAUGCUGAAAUUAAGAAAGUGGUCAAAGAACAAUGGGGAGAUGAUGCUGGGGAGGAAGGAGACAUAUUGGAGGGCCAAGAGAAGAAUGUGAUAAUGGAGUUGAAACACUGUGAACCAGAAAGGGUAGAAGGGCGAAAUGAGGCAGUGAAUGAAACGUGAAUGUUAUAACUAGAGAUGGACCGAUCCGAUAUUACGUAUCAGUAUCGGUCCGAUACUGACCUAAAUUACUGGAUCGGAUAUCGGCGAGAAAUAAAAAAUGUAAUCCGAUCCAUUAAAUAUCAAAAAAACACCUCACAAAACUUGCGACAAGGCGUAACUCGGCUCAUAACCGUAGCAAGUAGGAGCAGUAUGCCUCACGUGAUAGAGCGGCUGUGUGUAUUUGGAGCCUCGCUACCAAACCAGCAUUUCAUCUCCGAGGAAGUUAUCCCAGAGAGAAGUAAAGCAAGUGUGUAAGUUCAUCUCUGAAUGUUUGUAAAGCAUUCCCGCGUUAAGCUUAACAACCGAUAUAUGGAGCGACUGCCUCUCUCUCUCCUGCUGCUACUUCAAUCGUGAAACUGCUUAAUGAUCAGCUGAUCGGCUUUUCUGUGCGAGUCCAUCUCUCUUUUUUUGUAUUUGGCCCACUUUGCACCAGAACGAGGAAACCAGCGGCAGAACAACAGCAGCACGUUUAAACUUGAUAAGCUGUUGUUAGAAUUUAUUUAAUAUUACUUUCUAGACCAGGAUCUUUUUCUACGUAGCUGACGGCUGGUAACUGUGCAGGGGCGGAUCUAGCAAAGUUUAGCCAGGGGGGCCGAUAGGGCAUGAACAGGGAAAAGGGGGCACAAAGACAUACUUUUCUUCCUUAUUCUCAUUUGAAAUGUCUAGCUUAUAAUAAAUAAUUAUCUGAAUCUUACACCCAAAGUUUUAAUCUGAUGUAAAAUGUAUAGAAGUCCAUUACUGUAUAUAGUAACUGUUAAGUCUAAUAUACCCUAGUAAGCUAGUACUUUUUCCUUUGGGAAGGUACCAUCUGUGCAGUCUGCAAUUCUGUUGAAGAAAGAUGUUGAAUCUAUUUAAUUAUUCUUGAAAAAUAAUUUAUUUCUGUGCAUUUUUUUUCACCCUGCAUCAAAUUAAAGUUGAUUACAUCGAUUAAGCAUCAUGAGGUGGAGGGUGGGGGG
ensembl:lncRNA